rnacentral:rRNA from 1 species
AGUGAACGCUGGCGGUAGGCCUAACACAUGCAAGUCGAACGGCAGCACAGUAAGAGCUUGCUCUUACGGGUGGCGAGUGGCGGACGGGUGAGGAAUACAUCGGAAUCUACUUUUUCGUGGGGGAUAACGUAGGGAAACUUACGCUAAUACCGCAUACGACCUACGGUUGAAAGCAGGGGAUCUUCAGACCUUGCGCGAUUGAAUGAGCCGAUUUCGGAUUAGCUAGUUGGCGGGGUAAAGGCCCACCAAGGCGACGAUCCGUAGCUGGUCUGAGAGGAUGAUCAGCCACACUGGAACUGAGACACGGUCCAGACUCCUACGGGAGGCAGCAGUGGGGAAUAUUGGACAAUGGGCGCAAGCCUGAUCCAGCCAUACCGCGUGGGUGAAGAAGGCCUUCGGGUUGUAAAGCCCUUUUGUUGGGAAAGAAAAGCAGCAGGUUAAUACCCCGCUGUUCUGACGGUACCCAAAGAAUAAGCACCGGCUAACUUCGUG